rnacentral:rRNA from 1 species
UACGAAGGGGGCUAGCGUUGCUCGGAAUUACUGGGCGUAAAGCGCACGUAGGCGGCUUUCUAAGUCGGGGGUGAAAUCCUGGAGCUCAACUCCAGAACUGCCUUCGAUACUGGAAAGCUCGAGUCCGGGAGAGGUGAGUGGAACUCCGAGUGUAGAGGUGAAAUUCGUAGAUAUUCGGAAGAACACCAGUGGCGAAGGCGACUCACUGGCCCGUUACUGACGCUGAGGCGCGAAAGCGUGGGGAGCAAACAGG